UACAGAGGGGGCAAGCGUUGUUCGGAAUGACUGGGCGUAAAGGGCGCGUAGGCGGUUUAGACAGUCAGAUGUGAAAUUCCCGGGCUUAACCUGGGGGCUGCAUUUGAUACGUCUAGGCUUGAGUGAGGAAGAGGGUUGUGGAAUUCCCAGUGUAGAGGUGAAAUUCGUAGAUAUCGAGAGGAACAUCGGUGGCGAAGGCGGCCUUCUGGACGGUGACUGACGCUGAGGUGCGAAAGCGUGGGGAGCAAACAGG
rnacentral:rRNA from 1 species